UCCUACGGGAGGCAGCAGUGGGGAAUAUUGGACAAUGGGGGGAACCCUGAUCCAGCCAUGCCGCGUGUGUGAAGAAGGCCCUCGGGUUGUAAAGCGCUUUCAGCGAGGAAGAACGCCUAGCGGUUAAUACCCGCUAGGAAAGACAUCACUCGCAGAAGAAGCACCGGCUAACUCCGUGCCAGCAGCCGCGGUAAUACGGAGGGUGCAAGCGUUAAUCGGAAUUACUGGGCGUAAAACGCGCGUAGGUGGCUUGAUAAGCCGGUUGUGAAAGCCCCGGGCUCAACCUGGGAACGGCAUCCGGAACUGUCAAGCUAGAGUGCAGGAGAGGAAGGUAGAAUUCCCGGUGUAGCGGUGAAAUGCGUAGAGAUCGGGAGGAAUACCAGUGGCGAAGGCGGCCUUCUGGACUGACACUGACACUGAGGUGCGAAAGCGUGGGUUGCAAACAGGAUUAGAUACCCUGGUAGUCCACGCCGUAAACGAUGUCGACCAGCCGUUGGGUGCCUAGCGCACUUUGUGGCGAAGUUAACGCGAUAAGUCGACCGCCUGGGGAGUACCGCCGCAAGGUUAAAACUCAAAUGAUUGACCG
rnacentral:rRNA from 1 species